UCAAACCUUUAUCUAGUCUCUUCUCACAUUCUCACCGAGUCCCGCUCUUCAUUGAACCAGAACCUUGAGAAUGAAGUCCUCAGUUCACCGAGUCCGUGAUCCGAGUCCAAGACGAAGAUAACAAUAUAUUGAUUCCAUCGAUCACUUCAACUUGUCCGCACUAACUUGAUGAUUGAAGUCUGGUCAAUGCUGGGUGCAAUGGUGAAAGGUCAAGGUGACAGGCAUGAGGCUGUGGGUUUGAGUCUAAAAACAGCCAGUUUGUGCAAAAUUAUGCCGAAUGUUUGAAGCAAUUGAAGAACUCUGAAUAGUGCCACUAUUGUCACAAUGAAAAGGUGGUCGGUGUACUAUAUCCACUAUUUUCCUCCCCACCGUCCUGCUUAGGAGGGCCAUGGACUGGGUAAUGCACUUCAAUUUUAAUUUUAAAUUAGCUGGAAGGUGACAACAUUGGGUAAUUCAAGGUUAUGGCAAUUUGACAGCGUUUAUGCGGAUAGGUGCCAGUGCUGCUCCUGCAGCAUUUUGCUCCACAGCAAUCAAUUUCUCCCUUGUUAUAACUUGGGUUUCAAUGCAGUAAUGAGGAUUCACUUCAAGGCGGCGUUGCUCGUGUUCUACAAACUAAACUCCAAAUGUUUAUUUUUUGUACGUAUGAAUCUUAGCAACUAGAUUAAUCGACAUUAUAAAUGUAGACUUGUAGUGUCUUAGAAACUAGAAAAUUUUGUGAGAUUUUUAGCUCUUUGUGAGACUAUCUCUAUGCUUGUGGUCAACACUAAGUAGGGGUGGGACUUGGGUGGUCUAACUCGAGCAACCCGAGUCCCGUCUGAAAAUUUUACGACCAUGGGCAAGGUAUUUGAGAUCAUGAGAUUGGGAUCGAGUUUAAUUCUUAGGCCAUGUUUGGUGUGAGUGAAUGGAAUCAAAUGAAGCGGGAGUAGAAUGCUUUUGUUUCCA